CUCGUGUCUGACUGUAAACUCGUGUUGUCUGUGUUGGUCUUCUUCUGUGAGAUGAGAUGCGGAACACAUCAGCGCGUUACUGCCGCCUGCUGACAUAUCAAUGAAACUACACACUGUCAUCGCACUGAGAUUUGCAUAUUUACAACGGCUGUUAUUUCCCAAGUCCAUCGACACACGUGCCAAUGACUCCCAAAAUCAGCUGACUAAACCUUUCCAGGAGCCGGGGACACCCGGAUGACCCUCGGCCUUUACCGAGGGAACAACACGGUCUUUGAGUCCAGAAAGCAGACACAUUGACACAUUCAGAAGGCCCUGACUCACUGUUUCCUGAGAAAGCUCCACUCCCAGAUUCAAGAUUUUUAUUUGUCACAUACACAGUUAUAUGCAUAAACAACCUGUAGUGAAAUGGUGACCCUGAUGGAUCAGAGUUUCGGUAUGCACAGGAUCUUGGCUGCAGAAUCACAUUAUGACAUCAUGGGGAUGCCCUGAGGUUGUUGGUUUUACAUCAGUAGCAAAUUGAAAGUCUCGCGAUGGGCGGCAAAUUGUUUCAGCCUCUGUGGGAAAGCCUGUUUAACAUACAUUCAAUAAAAACUGUUUGUACCCUGGGGGAAGAGAGAGGAAACACAAACAGUCGAAUGUAAACAGUUUGAUUCGUUCAGUAUGUUGUAGAGCAGGGCUGUCUCACUCCGGCCCUGAUACUGACCCAGGGCCAGUAUCCGGCAAAGUUUAGUUUCAACCUUAAACAUCCUUGCCUGUAAUCAAGUAAUGCUUGAUUAGCUUAUUCAGGUGUGUUUAAUGAGGGCCGGAGCUAAACCCUGCAGGCCAGGGGCCCACCGGGACCGGAGUAAGUGAAGAUCUCUCAUCGGUCCUGGACUCUUGCAUUUAUAUUUAUGCAUUUGGCAGAUGCUUUUAUCCAAAGCGAAGAUUUUAUCAGUAUGUGCUUCCCCUGAGGAUCAAACUCGAUGCUAACACUGCGAACACAGGAACACGCGAAAGAUACACAUUUAAAAACUGUGAGAGCAGGUGUCCUUACAACUUUAUGAUCAUCACAUUUACCAUUGAAAAGUCUUAAUAAGCAUAGUUGGUCUGUGACACAGUCAACAAGCAACAAAUGUGUAGUGAAUAAUAUAUUCAUGCGAGCACAACAUGUGGUUGUGAGACAGACAGAUCACAGGAAUACUUCACAGGAAACAUCAUUCUUGAUUUUAGAUUCCUAGCUUUAUUAGUCUGAGAUCAGCUAAUUAAUUUAUAAUCUCCAGAUGUUUUCAUACAAAUUUAGAUUUUCUACAAUCUGCAUUUCAGUGAUCUGUGUAACCCCUACAGUGGUCAAUAUGUGUCCUUUAAUCUUCAUGCUAAGUGUGUAAUUAGACAAGUGUGUGUGUAUAUGU